AUUGAACGCUGGCGGAAUGCUUUACACAUGCAAGUCGAACGGCAGCACGAGAGCUUGCUCUUGGUGGCGAGUGGCGAACGGGUGAGUAAUAUAUCGGAACGUAUCCAAUAAUGGGGGAUAACUAAUCGAAAGGUUAGCUAAUACCGCAUACGCCCUACGGGGGAAAGCAGGGGAUCUUCGGACCUUGCGUUAAUGGAGCGGCUGAUAUCUGAUUAGCUAGUAGGUGAGGUAAAGGCUCACCUAGGCUUCG
rnacentral:rRNA from 1 species